CGGCGAGUGAGCGGCAAAAGCUCAAAUUUGAAAUCUGGCACUUUCAGUGUCCGAGUUGUAAUUUGAAGAAGGUAUCUUUGGGUCUGGCUCUUGUCUAUGUUUCUUGGAACAGAACGUCACAGAGGGUGAGAAUCCCGUGCGAUGAGAUGACCCAGACCUAUGUAAAGUUCCUUCGAAGAGUCGAGUUGUUUGGGAAUGCAGCUCUAAGUGGGUGGUAAAUUCCAUCUAAAGCUAAAUAUUGGCGAGAGACCGAUAGCGAACAAGUACAGUGAUGGAAAGAUGAAAAGAACUUUGAAAAGAGAGUGAAAAAGUACGUGAAAUUGUUGAAAGGGAAGGGCUUGAGAUCAGACUUGGUAUUUUGUAUGUUACUCUCUCGGGGGUGGCCUCUACAGUUUACCGGGCCAGCAUCAGUUUGGGCGGUAGGACAAUUGCAAAGAAAUGUGGCACUGCCUCGGUAGUGUGUUAUAGUCUUUGUCGAUACUGCCAGCCUAGACUGAGGACUGCGGCUUCGGCCUAGGAUGUUGGCAUAAUGAUCUUAAGUCGCCCGUCUUGA
rnacentral:rRNA from 1 species